AACCAAACAUACUUGUCUCGGAUACGCAAAAGCAACCAAAACAUUAUUGAAAAAGAAAAAAAACACAAACACAAAACAACUCUCUCUCUCUCUCUCUCUCUCGUAAUUCGUGCACCAAUCUCAUCACUCCGUCCCUGCACCAACCAAACCCUCACUUUCCUUAAACCCACAUCUCUCACCAUCUGGGUUCGAGGGUUUAAGAUGCGUUUACUAGUUCGAACCCAAGCCCAUGCUGGCCGUGGCCUUCGUCACCUUGUGAUUCAGUUCCCUGAGAGAUGGUUUGUGCUCAAAAGGUUCAGAGAUGUUAACGAUGCCUGCUGUAAGGGUUGUGCUCUAUUCCAACAUAAUAGAUGAAAAAUUUCUCACUAAAAGGUACUGUUGGAGUUUAUGCAUUAAUAUACUUCAGGUCUGGAAUAGGGAAUGAAGCCAUUGGUCCGCAUGACAUAGCUAUCUUUGUAUCAUAUUAAGAUUCACUUUACAUUUUUUUUUUUAUCUAUUUUGAAAUUCUUUGGAUAAUAGAUGCCUUGCUGCACCUUCUAUUUCUAUUCUGUUUUGUUUUUGAGUAUUUACCUAGUGACUGAUUUGAAUCCUCCUCUCUCUCCUCUCUCCCUCCCUUCCUCCCCCCGUGUGGGCACCAUUCUAUAUUGGAUUCUACAAUUUGUUAAUUUAAAAUGUAUGCCUCUGUGCCUAGUGGUGGUGUUGGCUGGGAAUGUCUUUGUGCCUUGGUGCUCCUUUCUGGAUAUGGUGACCUGCUUCAAAUAUUUA